rnacentral:rRNA from 1 species
UGCAGUCGACGAUGAACCGGUUUCGGCCGGGGAUUAGUGGCGAACGGGUGAGUAACACGUGGGCAAUCUGCCCUGCACUCUGGGAUAAGCCCGGGAAACUGGGUCUAAUACCGGAUACGACACAUGAGCGCAUGCUCGUGUGUGGAAAGUUCCGGCGGUGCAGGAUGAGCCCGCGGCCUAUCAGUUUGUUGGUGGGGUAGUGGCCUACCAAGACGACGACGGGUAGCCGGCCUGAGAGGGUGACCGGCCACACUGGGACUGAGACACGGCCCAGACUCCUACGGGAGGCAGCAGUGGGGAAUAUUGCACAAUGGGCGAAAGCCUGAUGCAGCGACGCCGCGUGAGGGAUGACGGCCUUCGGGUUGUAAACCUCUUUCAGCAGGGAAGAAGCGCAAGUGACGGUACCUGCAGAAGAAGCACCGGCUAACUACGUGCCAGCAGCCGCGGUAAUACGUAGGGUGCAAGCGUUGUCCGGAAUUAUUGGGCGUAAAGAGCUCGUAGGCGGCCUGUCGCGUCGAUUGUGAAAGCCCAGGGCUUAACCCUGGGUCUGCAGUCGAUACGGGCAGGCUAGAGUUCGGUAGGGGAGAUCGGAAUUCCUGGUGUAGCGGUGAAAUGCGCAGAUAUCAGGAGGAACACCGGUGGCGAAGGCGGAUCUCUGGGCCGAUACUGACGCUGAGGAGCGAAA